rnacentral:misc_RNA from 1 species
GAUGAAGAACGCAGCGAAAUGUGAUAAGUAAUGUGAAUUGCAGAAUUCAGUGAAUCAUCGAAUCUUUGAACGCACAUUGCGCCCGCCAGUAUUCUGGCGGGCAUGCCUGUUCGAGCGUCAUUACAACCCUCAGGCCCCCGGGCCUGGCGUUGGGGAUCGGCGGAAGCCCCCUGUGGGCACACGCCGUCCCUCAAAUACAGUGGCGGUCCCGCCGCAGCUUCCAUUGCGUAGUAGCUAACACCUCGCAACUGGAGAGCGGCGCGGCCAUGCCGUAAAACACCCAACUUCUGAAUGUUGACCUCGAAUCAGGUAGGAAUACCCGCUGAACUUAAGCAUAUCAAUAAGCGGAGGA